rnacentral:rRNA from 1 species
GAUGAACGCUGGCGGCGUGCCUAAUACAUGCAAGUCGAGCGAACAGACGAGGAGCUUGCUCCUCUGACGUUAGCGGCGGACGGGUGAGUAACACGUGGAUAACCUACCUAUAAGACUGGGAUAACUUCGGGAAACCGGAGCUAAUACCGGAUAAUAUAUUGAACCGCAUGGUUCAAUAGUGAAAGACGGUUUUGCUGUCACUUAUAGAUGGAUCCGCGCCGCAUUAGCUAGUUGGUAAGGUAACGGCUUACCAAGGCAACGAUGCGUAGCCGACCUGAGAGGGUGAUAGGCCACACUGGAACUGAGACACGGUCCAGACUCCUACGGGAGGCAGCAGUAGGGAAUGUUCCGCAAUGGGCGAAAGCCUGACGGAGCGACGCCGCGUGAGUGAUGAAGGUCUUCGGAUCGUAAAACUCUGUUAUUAGGGAAGAACAAAUGUGUAAGUAACUAUGCACGUCUUGACGGUACCUAAUCAGAAAGCCACGGCUAACUACGUG